CAAGGCAGAAACAUGUCUUUUUCAGUUUAAUAUUUUCAGUAUCUAAAAGAUUAUUUGCAAAGAGGAGGUGUUUGAUAAAUGUUUGGAGAGAGCUGGAAUUGAAUGCACUGUUAACAUUCAUGAUGACAGGUUUUAUGGGAAUCAAAGAUUGUAAAGGAAAAAUAAAAUAAGGUGGUGGAGACAAUUCAAUCAAGCAACCUAGAAGGGGAAUGACAAAAACCAGGCUUCUCUCUCUGACUCUCACGCUUACUAUCAUCACAACUUUCACGGUCUCUCUGUACUUCUGUUCUCUGAUCAAUAAAAAUGGGACAAACCGUGGUGGAUUCA